UCCCUGGUGGUCCAGUGGUUAGGAUUUGACGCUUUCACUGCUAUGGCCUAGGUUCAAUUCCUGGUCAGAGAA
rnacentral:tRNA from 1 species